UGGAUCCAGCUUUGAUCAUGGCUCAGGAUGAACGCUAGCUACAGGCUUAACACAUGCAAGUCGAGGGGAAACGACAUCGAAAGCUGGCUUUUGGUGGGCGUCGACCGGCGCACGGGUGAGUAACGCGUAUCCAACCUGCCCACCACUUGGGGAUAACCUUGCGAAAGUAAGACUAAUACCCAAUGACGUCUCUAGAAGACAUCUGAAAGGGAUUAAAGAUUUAUCGGUGAUGGAUGGGGAUGCGUCUGAUUAGCUUGUUGGCGGGGUAACGGCCCACCAAGGCUACGAUCAGUAGGGGUUCUGAGAGGAAGGUCCCCCACAUUGGAACUGAGACACGGUCCAAACUCCUACGGGAGGCAGCAGUGAGGAAUAUUGGUCAAUGGACGAGAGUCUGAACCAGCCAAGUAGCGUGCAGGAUGACGGCCCUAUGGGUUGUAAACUGCUUUUAUAAGGGAAUAAAGUGAGUCUCGUGAGGCUUUUUGCAUGUACCUUAUGAAUAAGGACCGGCUAAUUCCGUGCCAGCAGCCGCGGUAAUACGGAAGGUCCGGGG
rnacentral:rRNA from 1 species